rnacentral:rRNA from 1 species
UACGUAAGUGGCGAGCGUUAUCCGGAAUUACUGGGCGUAAAGCGUGCGUAGGCGGUUUAGUGUGUGGGAAUUGAAAGCCCGGGGCUCAACUCCGGAUCCGGUUCCCAAACUGCUAGACUCGAGCGUAUCAGAGGAGAGCGGAAUUCCCGGUGUAGCGGUAAUAUGCGUAGAUAUCGGGAGGAACACCAGUGGCGAAGGCGGCUCACUGGUCCGGUACUGACGCUGAGGUGCGAAAGCGUGGGGAGCAAACAGG